GGUCCGACCUAUGGCAGGUUACCUACGUGUUACUCACCCGUCCGCCACUCGUUGGCGACCAAAAUCAAUCAGGUGCAAGCACCAUCAAUCAAUUGGGCCAACGCGUUCGACUUGCAUGUAUUAGGCACACCGCCGGCGUUCAUCCUGAGCCAUGAUCAAACUCU
rnacentral:rRNA from 1 species